rnacentral:rRNA from 1 species
AUUGAACGCUGGCGGCAGGCCUAACACAUGCAAGUCGAGCGGAUGAAGGGUGCUUGCUCCUGGAUUCAGCGGCGGACGGGCGAGUAAUGCCUAGGAAUAUGCCUGGUAGUGGGGGAUAACGUCCGGAAACGGGCGCUAAUACCGCAUACGUCCUGAGGGAGAAAGUGGGGGAUCUUCGGACCUCACGCUCUCAGAUGAGCCUAGGUCGGAUUAGCUAGUUGGUGGGGUAAAGGCCUACCAAGGCGACGAUCCGUAACUGGUCUGAGAGGAUGAUCAGUCACACUGGAACUGAGACACGGUCCAGACUCCUACGGGAGGCAGCAGUGGGGAAUAUUGGACAAUGGGCGAAAGCCUGAUCCAGCCAUGCCGCGUGUGUGAAGAAGGUCUUCGGAUUGUAAAGCACUUUAAGUUGGGAGGAAGGGCAGUAAGUUAAUACCUUGCUGUUUUGACGUUACCAACAGAAUAAGCACCGGCUAACUUCGUG